AAUAUCGUUUGUGAAUUCAUGAUACUGAAUUGAUGAAGAAUCAGUUUAGUGCGAAUAAUGUCUGUAUUACGUUUAGAUCUGCAAUGAGACUUCAGACGUUUUUUUUGUAUAUGUAUGUAUGUGUACUGUUCAUUGCAAAAUCAAUUUGUUCUUAAUACAUGUGUUUAUCUAUUAAAAUGAGACUAAAGGUGUUCAUAGAGCAAACGAAUAAGGUAUAUGAUGAAAAUUAUUCUGUGAUUUCUUUUCGAGCACUAAUUCAUCGAGUGGUGAUUAUCUAAAUAUGUUCUGUAGAGCGUAAAAACAAAACUUUUAAAAGUGUUGUUUUUAUUCUUAGUUGCAACAGGAAUAUAGUCGAUAUUCUGACGUAAACAACAGUGUUGCAGAUAAGGAAGAUCAUUAUAAGUUCGAUAUGUAUAAUUUUGUAACAAUUUUAAAAUAUCAGUUUUUUAAGAUAUAUUUUCAUAUAUCUUACUGUUUGUCAAUUAAUUAAUAAAUAUGACAGUGUU
rnacentral:sRNA from 1 species